CCCGCGGAGGGGUCCGACGCCGCACCUGCGUCUGGCCACGCCCAGUGACGUCGGGUCCCCGGCAACCGCGGUGCCAACCCACCCUCCUCUUCUCAGGCCCGUACAUCCCCCCCACUCCUCCGGUUUCCAGCCCUACUUAUCCUUCGAGGAGCAGAUAGUUGGGAUGAGCCCGAGUCAAACUGGACAAAUCUGUUCCAGGAACUGGUUACUUUUGAGGGUAUCGGCGUGUACUUGAGAUACCAAGAGUGGAAGCGCCUGGACGGCCCUCGGAAGGCUCUGCGGGGACGUGAUGCUACAGAAUUAGGGAAACAUUAUCGCUCAGAGAUUUCCAGUUUCUAAAAAUGGUGUGGUCAGCCAGUUGAAAACAGGGGAAGUCCCAUGUAUUGGAGCUAGACAAAGAGCCACAAUCAGACCUGUGCCAAGAGAAAGUCAAAUAGGAAAUACCUGUUGAUCUGAAGAUAGGAGUGUAGGAAAGACCACCUGUCAGCUUUGACAUUUACCGCAACCCAAGGAGCAAAUGGAGCCACACAGCUCAGCCUGCCAGGCACUCUGGGCACUCUUGCUUAGGGCUUUCUGGAUUCUCCAGGUUUGUACGUGAGGAGUGGCUCCUUCUCAAGGUAGAGGUUUGUUCUCUUGUGUCAAAAAAGUCUGGAGGUAGGCGGUUCCGGGCAGUUUGGCUGCUUCAUGAUGCCUUCAGCACUGCAGGCUCCUAUUUUUCCCACUUCCUUCCUUAGCAUUUGGUUUCCCUCUUCAAGGUCACAUCAUGUUGAGAAGGUGGCCAUGGAGCUCCAGCCAUCACAUCCACACUCCAGACGGGAAGAAAGAAUCAGCUUCCUUUGGAGCAGUGCUUCUCAAACUUUAAUGCCUGACACUAAACACCGACUCAAAGCCUGCCUCGACCCUGAUGAAUCUGGUUGUGCCUGCCCCGCAGGGAUCAUCCCUCCGCCAGCAGCAGCAAUCGUAUGUCAGCAGUGGGUCACCUUUGGGGAUAUGGCUCGUCAGGUCAGUCAUGCUGGAACAAGGGGAAGCAUCUUGGGUACCAGGUCUGCAGGUGGCUGAGAACAGAAGCCUCUCCAUUUGCCCAGUCUCUAAGCUACCAGGUGGAAAUCAGAUUGAAGUCAGAUUCAGGGCCACAUAAGGCCCUAAAGAAGGCAAGUCCCUCUCCUCUGGACUCACCAUUUGCACAGACAAGGCCAGUGGCCUGAUGCAGCGGCCUCCGCCUGGUCUGCUGUCUGCGUGUGGGGAGGAAGCCAAGCACCCUCAGCACCAAGAACCGUUUCCCUUUAUUCCACCCUCUUUGUCUUCUGCGCCUUUCCUUCUGGGGUUAUCUUCAUUGCUACACAUCAGUUGAUGUCCCUAUUUUUUCCCAGGUGUUUCUUCCUGUCCCUUUAUUCCUUCCCUUAUAUUGCCUCCAUCGCAGUGUACUUGGCCAUCUUUGUCUGCUGUCCCUCUGAGGCUUCCUUUUUUGGCCCCAUUCGCCAUCUUUCCUGCCAAGAGUCCUGCAGAUAAGUGCCACACAGCAUCAUUCUCUUUGUUGUACUUGAUUAUGUUUUUCUCAAGUUGGUUUUUGCCCAGAAUGGGUAUCAGAUAAUGUAUUUUUUGUCAGAUGGUGAGAGCAGAACCAAGAAAGCAGAAUCAACUCUAAAGCAGGGCAUUUCUAAGGACAUUGAGUGUGGAGGGAAAGCUUUGAGAGAACUCCCAAAGACCAGGCCAAGAGUUUCAGUUUCAUAGAAUUACAUGAAUCUCAAGAAACCACAAGAGACUUUAGAAGAAAAGGAUCCUUCAAGUAUGGUGAGAGCAGUAAGUGAUCCACCAGGAAGUCACAACAUACUGCUUGUCAGAAAAUCCAUACCAGAGAGUUCCACUGUCACCUGUUCCUGCAGCCCAGAGGACUGGGCAGAGACUUGUCCGUGUAAGGAGUGUGAGGAAACGUGGAGAGACACCACAUGUUCUCACACCAGAGCACUCACGCAGCGACUGUGUCUAAUGCUCUCUUGCCUGAGACUGCCUUCCACAGACAGCAGGCCUGCAAAUGUGAGUGACUUCCCAGCUCUCCAUGCAUGGGAAGAAGCCCCCGAAUGCUGUGAGUGUGGAGAAAGCAUUAGGGAUCAGUCUCUCAUGCCUGUCAGUGCAUUUAUAAUAGGAAAAAGCUCCACAAGUGUAACACGUGGAAAAGCCUUCCAAGACAAUGAGGCCCUUUCUUCCCAUCGAAGAGCGCACACAAGAAAGGAGCUGAGUCUCCACAAGGAGUGCACAAAGGCCCUUCCUCAGAAUGUAUUGAUCAUGAAACAGUCCACACUGGAGAAAAGCCCUAAGAAUAUUCUGACUGUGGGAAAAUGUUUAGCCAGAAUGAAUAUCUUACUCGAGCUAAGAGAAGCCAAAUAAAUACUGGGGGUGAGCCUCCAGCCAGGGCUUCUAUGUUACCCUGCGUAUGAAAAUUCAUAGUGGCAAGGAACACUACCAGUGUCAUGAAUGUGUAAAAGCCUUUGCUCGGGUGUCACAGUUCUCUUCACACCAGACAGCUCACACUGGAGAAAAGCCUUGUAUGUGUAAAGAAUGUGGAAAAGAUUUCAGAGGGAGGUCACACUUCAUUAUACCCGAGUUCACACCCAGAAUAAAUCAUCUAGGUGCAGCAAGUUGGCAGAGUCUUUAUAUAUUACACUCCCUAUGUAAUAUAUAUGUAAUAGAAUUCACACUGGAGAGAAGUCCCACAAGUGCCCCAAACGUGGCAAAGCCUUUAGGGAUCGUUCCCAACUCCUGGUUUAUCCACACACUCACAGGUGGGGAGGCCUUCGGGGACCAGCCCCAUGUCAUUGCCCAGUGGAGUAGCCAUCCUGGAAGACCUUCAGUCAUAACUGGGAUCUGAGAAACCCCAUGCACAUCUCAAGUUGGGAAGGCCACUACGAGGAACACCAGCCUUAGGAAUCACCAGAGCCUGGGAGGGGAAGGAGGGUGGUUGGUAAUUGUGCAGACCUUCAAUAACACACUGCAAUGCACGGGCAAUUUCAAAUCCCAUGAAUGUGAUGAGUUGCCAAGCAGAAAAAGAUCCCACCUUACUCUGUCUCAGAAUUUAGGUAGGAGAGAAAUUGUACAGAUAGUCCAAGGAUGGAAACACCUUCCCUUUUAGGUAAUUUAUUCUAGAGCUGGGUCUGCAGUCGGUUUCGGUAAAGGGCCAGAGAAUAAAUACUUCAGGCUCUGUGGGCCAGACAGUCUCCGCUGCAACCAGAAAGCUUUGCUGUUGAAGCAUGAAAGUAGCCAUGGGCAAUAUGUAAAUAAACAAGGCCGGCUGUGUUCCAGUAAAACUUCCUUUACAAAAACAGGCGGCUAGUCAAAUUUUGCCCAUGAGCCGUACUUUGCAGACCCCUGUGCUGGAGGUAGAGCAUCUCAAGGACCUUUCCCAGUUAAGGGGAGAGGCACUCUAGAUUGGACUCCCUUGCAGAGAUCUAGAAAAGCACGGUCAGUGCAGCAGAACCUUCAGGGCUGCUCACACCUUGUCAGGAGGGUCGACAUACGGAAGGCCGAGAUACCUGGGCUCAUACCCUAGGUUCUGCCAUAAAACGGUGGAAGGAAUAGCACCCAGUCAUCUAGAAGCCACAGAAGACCGAAAAAGCAUAUGUGCAAGUGCUUUGGGAGUAAAUACUGUAAACACAUUUAAAAUGGUGAUUUAUGGUAAAAGAUUCACUCAUUCUCCAAAUAGCUGUUGGGCCCCUCCUCUAUGCCAGGUUCCUGCUAGAGAUACAUUUGGGAGUGUCAGGCUGUAGAUGGUGUUUAGAGCCAUGGGGCAGGAUGAUUUCAGCAGAGGUGUUUAUGUAGCAAGAGGAGGACUGAAGGUUGAGCUGGGGGCCUCCAACAUUUACAAGUUAGAGAAAAGAGAAGAGUCCAGUCUGGAAGAUUGUGAAAACACCUGUGAGGCAAAAAAACAGCAGUGGGGAGUCAGGAAAGCAGAGGAAGGAAGCGUCUCAAGGAAGGAAUGGUAAGCUCCUCCAAAUUCUGCCAAUGGGCGGGUUUCGGAAGGCCUGGGAAUUGGCCACUCUAUUUGACAGGGGUGGUAGUUUAGUGUCCUAGGGCUGCCUAGCAAAUUACCACAAACUGGGUGGCUUAAAACAACGGAGAUUUAUUCUCUCUCAGUUCUGGAAGCCAGAGGUCUGAAAUCAAGGUGCUGGUAGGGCUGCAUUCCCUCUGAGGGCUCUAGGGACAAAUCACUCCUCACCUCUUCUGGCUUCUGGUGGCUCCAGGCGUUCCUUGGUUUGUGGCUUUGUAACUCCAAUCUGUCUGCCUUCUCUUCCAUGGGUCUCUUACAAGUACACUUGUUAUUGGAUUGAUCUCCUGGAUAAUCCAGAUUCUCAAUUACAUCUGCAAAGACCCUUUUUCCAAAUAAGGUCACAUUCACACGUUAUGGGGAUUAGGAUGUGGGCAUAGCUUUUGGGGGGCCACCAUUCAGCCCCCUGCAGGUGGUGUCCAGGGAGUGAUGGUGAGAUGGAGCAGGUUCUGGAGAGAAUGGGGGCAGAGGGAGUACAGGCAGCAAGUAUGCCUAGAGCCAGAGAGUAAAACUGAAUCACGCUUGCCUGAGGAAAGCAAGGAUCUUAUGUGUACCCAGCUUUUUGUGUCAGUGGUAGCACCCUCAUAAACCCCUGUACUCAGAGGGCAGGGGAAAGAGGAGGUAGGGAAGAAGUUGAAUCACAAAUUUCCUUGCACAGUCUGGCCUUCUCGGCAUAUGAUGUUGCAGUGGGCCUGUUGUUUCAGGGUCUCCAGGUGCUUGGAGGCCACAGGAGCUUGGCUGGGAGUAGGGCUGGGGGUAGUGUUGCCAAAACUAUUGGGCAGCAGCUAAGAGGGAACUGCCCUCUGCUCCCACCACUCUCCAUGGCUAUAAGGCAGCUGCCUAUUGCCACGGGUGCAAAGGUGUCCCCUAGCUGCUGUGGGCAUCUUGGAUGCCCUUGAGGCUACACCAAGGACUUGCAGAAACUGGGUCCCCUUCAGGGCUGAGGCAGCUGUCGGUAAGACACAGAUGCCUCCCUGCUGUUGCCCCCACUAUUUCUACAAAAAACUUGCCCUCACGUGGCUGAAUCUAGGUCCUCAAGAGAAAGAGGCAGUCUGUCUGUUGUGUGCAGGCUGCCAAUGGCAGAUGGCAUUCAGGCCCUGCCCAGGUCCCCAAAGAUAAAUGGGCACCCUAGUUCUCGUACAGAAUUUCUUAAAGAGGGACACAAAUAGGUGGACUGCUUUGGGGAGCAGAGGGAUGAAGUAAUCUCAGCCUUGAACAAAAGAGAAUUAAAAAGUUCUUAGGCCUUUUUGAUUAGAUUAUUUCCAUGGAGAUGUGACCCCACCCAUUCAAGGUGGGUCUUAAUUAGUAUACUGGCAUCUUCUAUGAGAGGAUAAAAGGCAGAGACAUUUUGAAGAGUGCUCAGAGAUGCUUCGAAAACGCCCAGGGUCAUUUUGGAGACAGCCAUUGAAAGCAGAACCAGAAGAGAAGCUAAGAAAUGAAAUCCAGAGUUUGCCCCAGAGAAGCUACGAAAGGACCCCCAGACGUUUAGAGAGAAAUGCCCCGGGAGGAACAAGCAAGGACACACAGAAGCCCAGAGACAUUUUGGAGAGAAGGUCCAGCAGAUGUCAUCAUGUGACUUUCCAUGUGACAGAGGAACCCCAGAUGCCAAUAGCCUUCCUUUAGUGAAGGUAUCUUCUUGUUGCUGCCUUCGUUUGGACAUUUUUAUGGCCUUAGAACUGUAAAUUUGUAACUUAAUAAACCCCCUUUAGAUACAUAUAAAAAAGAAAAGGUCUUAGGAAGGAGGCUUUGGCUAGAAUAGGAUAUAUCUCAAGUCUUCAGUUUAAACAUCACUUUUCACACACCCAGAUAAGUUGGGCCCCGUUUUACUCUUCCACCUCACUUGUUCAGUGUCCGUCAUCACCAUUAGAGGUUGGCCCCAUGAUGGCAGAGGCUGGUCCAGCUUGCUUGUCUGUGUUGCCCCAGCAUCUGCCUAUCACAUGGCUGGCACUGAAUGAAUAAUUUGGAGAUGAGUAGGGAGAAAUGAUCAGCCAUUACCUGUGCCUUGGGCAUUGGCUUCCUUGAGAGGGCUUUGCUCUGACUGGUUGCUAUCUGGUGUCCUUCCACACACUGGGGCAGCCCUGCUCCUAUACCAGGAGGGCCGCACACCUGCCACCUGUAGGAGCUGAUCAGUGAGCCCCAUACCUCCACCUCUGUGCACACCCCUGGAGUGGGGCUCUUGGUGCCUUCUGGUGCCAACUGGGAAAGCUAAGGAUGGAGUACAUGUGACCUUUCACACCAGGGAUGCCCUCAGCUCCCUGGUAGGUUUGCAUCAAGGACCUCUCUUGUCACCACAGCAACUUGCCUAUCCUUCCCACACUGAGGAAUGCUGAGUUGAGGUGUUUCCUGGGAGUUGCCUCUCCCUCAUUUUCCCUCCCUUUUUGGGCAACCCUAGCUGAAGGAAUGCUGCAGGGGCAGGUGGUCUGCUGCCCCCAACAUAAGACUGUCCAUCUCAUUACGUCCUCCCACCCAUCAGAUGUACUUUGAACCAUAUGAAUGAAACAAACAGUUUUACUUCCCGUUUUAUCUACACUUCUGAGAGAGUGUUACACACAGGCAUCUAUCUUACUAUGGCUAAGAUGGGCCAUGCACUCAACUGUUUGAGGUUUGUCUUUGGAGUUGGAAUUACUAGAGAAGUCACUUUAUGUCAUGUAAUUCUCUAGAUUGACCUUUCUUAAAGAUUUUGUAAUCAGAAUAAAAGAUUAAAAUACUGAAAAAUAUAUGAAUUUUGUUUGCUAAUCAUUAGUUAUGUUUUCAGGGUUACGAGGACCGCCACAUCUGCCACCUGCAGAAGCUGUUCAGCAUGCCCCAAGCGCCGGCUCCAUGCACACUCCUACGGUGGGAACCGAGAGUGGCUGCCUCUGUUCAGCUGUUUACUUCUUUUGAAAUUUGUUUGACACUUUUUUGUUUUUUAAGUCCAUGUGAUUUGUAAAGCACAGAUUUAAAAAUUUUAACCUAUUUAUUUGCAAAAAAGUUGUAGAAAAAGUUUCUAUGUAAUCAAGUAGCCUUUUAAAAAAUUAAAGCCUUUGUUCUAAUGGGAUGCUGAAAA